AUUGAACGCUGGCGGAAUGCUUUACACAUGCAAGUCGAGCGGCAGCGCGGGGGCAACCCUGGCGGCGAGCGGCGAACGGGUGAGUAACACAUCGGAACGUACCCACUUGUGGGGGAUAACGAAUCGAAAGAUUCGCUAAUACCGCAUAAGACCUGCGGGUGAAAGCGGGGGACCGAAAGGCCUCGCGCGAGUGGAGCGGCCGCUGUCGGAUUAGCUAGUUGGUGAGGUAAAGGCUCACCAAGGCGACGAUCCGUAGCGGGUCUGAGAGGACGACCCGCCACACUGGAACUGAGACACGGUCCAGACUCCUACGGGAGGCAGCAGUGGGGAAUUUUGGACAAUGGGGGCAACCCUGAUCCAGCCAUUCCGCGUGAGUGAAGAAGGCCUUCGGGUUGUAAAGCUCUUUCGGCAGGAACGAAACGGUCCUAGUUAAUACCUGGGGCUAAUGACGGUACCUGAAGAAGAAGCACCGGCUAACUACGUGCCAGCCGCCGCCGUAA
rnacentral:rRNA from 1 species